rnacentral:rRNA from 1 species
GAUGAACGCUGGCGGCGUGCCUAAUACAUGCAAGUCGAGCGAACGGACGAGAAGCUUGCUUCUCUGAUGUUAGCGGCGGACGGGUGAGUAACACGUGGUUAACCUACCUAUAAGACUGGGAUAACUUCGGGAAACCGGAGCUAAUACCGGAUAAUAUUUUGAACCGCAUGGUUCAAAAGUGAAAGACGGUCUUGCUGUCACUUAUAGAUGGAUCCGCGCUGCAUUAGCUAGUUGGUAAGGUAACGGCUUACCAAGGCAACGAUGCAUAGCCGACCUGAGAGGGUGAUCGGCCACACUGGAACUGAGACACGGUCCAGACUCCUACGGGAGGCAGCAGUAGGGAAUCUUCCGCAAAGGGCGAAAGCCUGACGGAGCAACGCCGCGUGAGUGAUGAAGGUCUUCGGAUCGUAAAACUCUGUUAUUAGGGAAGAACAUAUGUGUAAGUAACUGUGCACAUCUUGACGGUACCUAAUCAGAAAGCCACGGCUAACUACGUG